AUGACGACAGUUUCACUUCUGAUGCCGCCAUUUUGACGCUAUCAUAUCUCUGUGCUUUUGCUGAAUUUCUGCUGACAUUUGCCUCAUUAUCUGCUCAUCACCAGUUGUUUUCACCAUGAGUUCCUACACCCAAGUGAUGCCUGGACCAGUGCAAACAGCAAUUGCCUUCCUCAGCAACGACCCAUCAUGGCCAUGAGGUCAGAGCAGGGUGGCGGUGGCAGCUGAAGUCUACCCUACAGUCUUUUAGUAGAUUUUGUCACCAGGGUUCUUAAUUUGUUUUCUGCACGAUUCCAUUUUGUUGAGGUUGUAGCUGAACUUGAGACCACAUGUAUCCAAACCUCCAUGCAAAACCCAAGCAUCAUAUAAAAAUCACAAUAUUCUGUCAAUUGAGAUAUGUACCUUCAUGCACUACACUAUCAACAUGUCAAUAGUUGUAUCCAUUCUGGAUUAUGCACGUUUCCUGUGUCAAAAUGUGCGUUUAAUGUAUAAAAGUAAUAAUUUAGGUGAUCUUUUUCAAAUAUUUCGAUACUUUCCAAAUUUUAUACAACGGAAAAAGUGAGAUUCAAGAAAUGAUAUAUCUCGAGUGACAGUGAUUCAUAGACACUUACUUAUCAUAUAGUCGGGAACGAUCAAGUGAGUUUGCUGUGAAUCAGAGAUUUAAAAAUAUUUUGUUUGCUUUCUGCCCACAGGUUGAAGAUGUAUCACCGACCAACCAUCGUCAAAGCGAACAUCUCCAGUUGAUGUGUAUCGUGCCUGUCACAUUUGUCACUGAACUUUAAUAAAAUCUGUCUAAACGUA